CUAUAAUUGGCACGGGAAGAGCGUUGGCAGUCUGCUGUGGGCUCCUUCCCUGCAAAGCCUGUUUGCGAUGCUCAUCUCUGAAUGAUGCAUAGUGUCUCCCUCCCUCCUAUUAAAAAAAAAAUGGUAUGAACAGCGGCUGGCAGGCAGACUGGUCAGCAGUGAUUCAUUCCCUGGCAGCCAUGAUGAGCAGCAUGGGCUAAAUUCAGCCUUGGUGGAGGUGGAUGUUUCUCCAUUUCCUUUCAUGGCACCGCAUCUGCGUUACAUCAGGUAUCAAGGGAAAAUGGCUAGCAGUGAGUUCUGUAGCUUUUCCUGCUCUGCAACCCCUCUGGCUUAGCCAGCUGGAUCACACUGAAUUAGUCAAGUACUUCAUUAUCUCCCUUCUCUGCACAUUUUGCUCCAGCUCUGAAAUGUCCCUGUUGUGCCACCAAAUUGCAGAACCUUUUCACAGCUGCGUGGGAAAGAUGAUGGCUGACUUCAGAGGCUUGGGUAACAUCCAAGGAGCCACAGCUCUUGGAGCUGCUGAAACCAUGAGACAGCCAGGUCAAGAAUUCACUAUUGCUUGUACUAAAUUCUAGAGAUCUCAUUCGUAUUCCCAUCUGCUCAGCUCUUUGACAUUUGAGAUCUUUAGCCAGUAUGGUCAAGACAGUAAUUUCACUCAGUUUAUGGAAUUACUGCUUACAUACUCUGGGGGUUAAAAGCGAGGAAAACUAGGCACCAGAUUUUCAAAGUAUAUAUCUGUCUCUGUAUGUAUACUCUCAUCAGGUCUGUGACCCACCAUGCCGCAGUAUCUUAGCACCUUACAUAUGGCUGACACGCAUACCCAGAACUGUAAGCCACUGCAAGCAACUAAGCAAGUGGAAAGACUUCCACCCUGGCAAAGAAUGACAGAACCUUAAAAGGGCACUUGUGCUAUUUUUUUUUCCUCUCAACUAGGAGACAGUGAAAGAAAGAUGUGUUUAAAAAAAAAAAAGAGAGAGAGAGAGAGAGAGAAAAUUCAUGCUAUUUUAAAAUAGCAGAGCAGGAAUAAAUUACAGCAAUACCAUUAAUCCCA
rnacentral:lncRNA from 1 species